rnacentral:rRNA from 1 species
GAUGAACGCUGGCGGCGUGCUUAACACAUGCAAGUCGAACGGUGAAGGCGGAGCUUGCUCUGCUGGAUCAGUGGCGAACGGGUGAGUAACACGUGAGCAAUCUGCCCCUGACUCUGGGAUAAGCGCUGGAAACGGCGUCUAAUACUGGAUACGAGCUGCGAAGGCAUCUUCAGCAGCUGGAAAGAAUUUCGGUCAGGGAUGAGCUCGCGGCCUAUCAGCUUGUUGGUGAGGUAAUGGCUCACCAAGGCGUCGACGGGUAGCCGGCCUGAGAGGGUGACCGGCCACACUGGGACUGAGACACGGCCCAGACUCCUACGGGAGGCAGCAGUGGGGAAUAUUGCACAAUGGGCGAAAGCCUGAUGCAGCAACGCCGCGUGAGGGACGACGGCCUUCGGGUUGUAAACCUCUUUUAACAGGGAAGAAGCGAAAGUGACGGUACCUGCAGAAAAAGCGCCGGCUAACUACGUG